rnacentral:rRNA from 1 species
UACGUAGAAGACUAGUGUUAUUCAUCUUUAAUAGGUUUAAAGGGUACCUAGACGGUAUAAUUAGUCUUAAACAGGAUACGAUUAUACUAGAGUUAUAUAUGAGGAGGUGAGUAUUUAUGCAGUAGAGUUGAAAUUCGUUGAUAGCAUAACGACUGGUAACGGCGAAAGCAACCUUUUAUCUAAUAACUGAGCGUUGAGGGACGAA